rnacentral:tRNA from 1 species
CAAGNAAUAGUUUAAGUAGAACUUNAGCUUUGGGUGUUGAUGGUGGGGCAAUCGCUUCUUCCUUGA